rnacentral:lncRNA from 1 species
CCCUCUGAUCCACUCCUCAUUCCCCAACCUGAUCUUUGUAAAAUUUUGUAUAUAAGGUCUGGACUCUAUUCUCGGUCAUCAUACCGAGCAGAUCGUUCUUCAAAGAAACAAAGCCUUUGCUCAAAUCAACAUUCACCGGUGAAAAAUGGCUCAGAUUGUGUAUCAACCUUUCUCCUUCAACAGCGGAGUCAAGAAUGUCUUCAGCGAAGACGCUCCUUUAAGUCAAAAGCACCGUAGCGAGAGCCUUCCUCGUCAUCCAGAAAGGCUGCCACACACGCUGCACGAAGAGGAAAUGGAAACCGAAGUGUUCGAUUCGUCUCCUUCUUCGAUUACGAAAGACUUUCCUGGAGCGACGCAGUCUGGCAGUCGCCGCAGGAGUAUCUAAUGACUUAUGACAAAUGUCAGUACGAUCACUGUAUACUUAUUUUCAUGGACAUGAUAUUGGCGAUUCAUCAAUAAAAGUAACAA